GGAUAACCACUUAACUCCAAAAUAUUUUCCAGUUGAAGAUUUAAGAUCAUUAACUUCCCUGGAAAGUGAUCUUCAAUCCGCACCGGAAACGAGACGAAAAGUGGUACUCGAACUUGGAUUGCUGGGUGGGGUGGACUUGAAGGAUACGGUUUGGAGAAUAAUGAAGCAGGCGAUUAAAAAUGACUUUGCUAAAACCAUUAACUGGAGAGGUUUAAAUGGAAAAACGCCAUUCCAAAAUUUGGAGCUUAAAAGUGUUGUCAUUGAGGCUGUAAGAAGAAAUCCAGUUUGUGCCCAAAUUACUGAGCAGGAGGUUGAACAAGUUAUUAGACGGUGGUUUUACUUUGCUGGUGAUCGUGAGGGUGGCAGAAAAAAAAGAACAUUACAAAAUUUAAAUUUUAAUAACUGAUUUUAUUGUAUUUUUAAUUCUGCGCACUUUUACUUUUGCACCUUUUUUACUUUUGCAGGUAUUUUUUACUUUUGCACGUGUGAACAAUUUUGGCUUUUACUACCUGUUUGUUGGUUUCACUUGAUUUAUGCACAUUUACUUGCUUCAAUUUGCACUUGCUUUCCUGUUUAACAUUUUAUAACUUGGAUUUUAAUUUCUUUUACACUUAUUAUUUUCUUGAUUUGCUGUUGGUUAAAUCUAUUAUUCUCAUUUUAUUUUUGAAGCUUGGUUGAUUUUUCUCUUCUGAUAUUACAUUUUUAGUUUGUCUUUUAUAACCAGCCUUUAUUUUUGGGUUCACAUGUACUUUGUCCAUUACUGCUUUGUUUAACAUUUUAACCUACUGCUUGAUUUUUAAUCUGUUAUUGUAAUUGUUGCUUUUAUUUUGUCUUCUGCUGCUAUUGUUUUUUAGUUAUAUUUUUAUUGCACAUGUAAAUAGUUUGUAUUUUUUAACCAGUUUUGUUGUUCUUUUAUUACACUGCACAUUUACUAAAUUUUUUUUUUUUUUUUAGGUUGAUUCACUACCUUUUUUUUGGUUGGUUUUUUGAUUUGUGCACUUUACAUUUUUUUACUUAUUUAACACUUGUUUUUAUUGUAUUGUGACUUGUUUUUUUGUUGGUGGGUAAUGUAUUAAGAAAAUUUACACUUUUGGUUUGUUUGAUUUGCGCACUACACAAUUACUUUAUUUUUGCCUUGUUUAUUAAACACUUUGCUUUUUAUUUAUUGUAUUGUUUUUUGCUUACUGUUAUGUCAUUCUUAAUUCCUAUUGUUUUAAUUUUCUUGUAUUUGGCUGGGGUUUGUACCUCCGUGUUAAUAAAAACACUAUAUUUUCAAAACACAUGGUUUUAAUUUAUUUAAUAAUGAUUAAAUAUUAUGGUUGCAUUCAGGCUCAGUUUUAAGGAUUUGGGGAUAAUAUUGGUGUAGUUUUGGGGGGGUUCUGGAGAAGUUGGGUGAGGUUUAGUAAAGUUGUUGGCAGUUUGGCUCUUUAAUGGGUUACACUUGGGGAUUAAGGCAGAGUUCUGGGACAGUUAAGGCUGGUUACAGGGACAUUAAAGAAGUUGUGGGUGAAUUUUGGCCUGCUUCAGGCACUGUUCAGGUAUCCUUUAGGCAAGCAGCUUAAGGGCCA